UAACAACAAAGCGAAGCUAAAUGCUGGAAAGGACCACAUUGGUCAAUCAGUUAGAAACACAGAGGAAAACAUCACCAGUAGAUUUAGGCAAGUACAAGAAAGAAGAGCAGAGGUUGAGGCAAAGGCUGAGAAAACACUACAUUCAAACAUCAACACUUUAAUCCAAAAAUAGUUAACUAUGAAACAGCAACCCCACCCACCUGAAAGUUAUAAACAGAAUGUUUAGAAUAGUAAACACCAGAGUGGAGGCUUGAAUGGCUUCCAUAAGGCUCAUAUAUUUGAGUGUCGGUCUUUGCAGCUGUAAUACCACCUUUGAUAUUACUACCAAGGUGGGUCACUGUGAUGGUUUGAAUAUUCUUGGCCAGGAAGUGGCAGUAUUAGGAGGUUUUGUUGGUAUAGUUGUGGCCUUGUUGGAGGAAGUGUGUCACUGUGGGAGUGGGCAAUGAGGCCCUGCUCCGAGCUGCCUGGACACAGUCUGCUCCUGGCUUCCUUUGGAUGAAGAUGCGGAACUUCUCCAGCACCAUGCCAGCCUGGACACCUCCAUGCUGCCCACCAUGAUGAUAAUAGACUGAACCUAAGAACCCAUAAGCCAGCCCCAACUAAAUGUUGUGUUUUGUAAGAGUUGCCUUGGUUAUGGUGUCUCUUCACAGCAAUGGAAACCCUAACUAAGACACUGUACUACUGGAUGUGACAAGCAAGAAUGCUAGGUGUUAUAGAGGCUGAACAUACCUGCCCAGUGUACUGAUUCAUUUUUGUGUGUCGACUUGACACAAGCUGGAGUUAUCACAGAGAAAGGAGCCUCCCUUGAGGAAAUGCCUCCAUGAGAUCCAGCUGUAAGACCUCCCUUAGAUAAAGUCUUCUUAUCAUCUCGGUCUCCAGGAGGUACCACUGGACAUAGAAAGCAAAUGGAGAGACAUGGCAAGGAGAAAGGAUGUCAGUACUGAAGCUACUGCUAAGAGCCAAGAAAGGGGCUGGAAAGAGGACUCAGCUGUCAAGAACACUUGCUUCCUUCCAGACAACUCAGGUUCAACUCCCAGAAUCUUCGUAGGGGCUCACAACUGUGUGAACCUCCAGUCCCAGGGGGGAAUCUGAAACCUCUUCUGGUCUGUGCAAGCACCAGGCACAAAAGUGGUACACAGAUACACACAGAAGCUAAACACCCAUACACAUAAAAUAAAAAUGUAAAAAGGA